AAUUAUACAGGAAAUUGUUUCCAUUUUUUCCCGUUUGGAUCGGGGAGGAGGAUUUGUGUUGGGAUUCCAUUGGCAGAGAAAAUUAUGAUGCAGAUUUUGGCGACAUUGUUGCAUUGUUUUGAAUGGGAAUUGCCAAAUGGGAGAAAACCUGAUGUAAAAGAGAAGCUACAAUUGGUGUUGUCGAAGGCGGAGCCGCUUGUUGUUGUGCCUAUUGUGCGUUUAUCUAAUUUGAGGCAAUACGAAUAAAUGUGUGGUUAUAUAUUUUUACUCUAUAAUUUACUCAAUAAAUAAAUAAUCGAAAACCUAGUUGGGUGAAACCAUUCUAGUAUACUUUAAUUGAAUCCUCUAAUCAAAAUCAAAAUUAAUUAAAAUUAUCUCUAUUUGAUCAAUUAAUUCAAUUUUAAUUAAAUUUUGAUUAGUUUUAAUCCUUUGUUUCUAAUUGUGGGUAUAGGAUAUUAUAAUCGGCAGUACAGACACAACAUCUACAACAAUGGAAUGGGCGAUGACGGAAUUACUACGACACCCAAAUAAACUACGAAGAGUCACCGAGGAAUUGGAUGCAAUAAUUGGGGACCAAACUAGCGUUGAAGAGUCCCAUCUUCCUCGUUUGCCCUACUUAGAAGCAGUGCUGAAAGAAACGUUCCGAAUUCACCCACCGGCUCCCUUGUUAUUUCCGCACAUGUCGAGCGAGACCACAAUCGUAGCUGGUUACACCAUCCCUAAAAAUUCCAAUAUUUUCUUCAACGUGUGGGCAAUACAAAGGGAUGCCGAGUUCUGGGAAGACCCUCUUCGAUUCGAGCCAGAAAGGUUCUUGAAAGACACUGAGAAAAGGAAUUAUACAGGAAAUUGUUUCCAUUUUUUCCCGUUUGGAUCGGGGAGGAGGAUUUGUGUUGGGAUUCCAUUGGCAGAGAAAAUUAUGAUGCAGAUUUUGGCGACAUUGUUGCAUUGUUUUGAAUGGGAAUUGCCAAAUGGGAGAAAACCUGAUGUAAAAGAGAAGCUACAAUUGGUGUUGUCGAAGGCGGAGCCGCUUGUUGUUGUGCCUAUUGUGCGUUUAUCUAAUUUGAGGCAAUACGAAUAAAUGUGUGGUUAAAAUAUG
rnacentral:lncRNA from 1 species